GUGAGGAAUAUUGCGCAAUGGGCGAAAGCCUGACGCAGCAACGCCGCGUGGGCGAUGAAGGUCUUCGGAUCGUAAAGCCCUUUUCUGAGGGAAGAGGAAGGACGGUACCUCAGGAAUAAGCCUCGGCUAACUACGUGCCAGCAGCCGCGGUAAAACGUAGGAGGCGAGCGUUAUCCGGAUUUACUGGGCGUAAAGCGCCGGCAGGCGGUGUCCUAAGUUGGACGUGAAAUCUUCUGGCUCAACUGGAAGGGGCCGUUCAAUACUGGGACACUUGAGGGCAGGAGAGGGAAGUGGAAUUCCCGGUGUAGUGGUGGAAUGCGCAGAUAUCGGGAGGAACACCAGUGGCGAAGGCGGCUUCCUGGCCUGCUUCUGACGCUCAACGGCGAAAGCUAGGGUAGCGAACGGGAUUAGAAACCCUAGUAGUCC
rnacentral:rRNA from 1 species